rnacentral:rRNA from 1 species
UACGUAGGGUGCGAGCGUUAAUCGGAAUUACUGGGCGUAAAGCGUGCGCAGGCGGUGAUGUAAGACAGAUGUGAAAUCCCCGGGCUCAACCUGGGAACUGCAUUUGUGACUGCAUCGCUGGAGUGCGGCAGAGGGGGAUGGAAUUCCGCGUGUAGCAGUGAAAUGCGUAGAUAUGCGGAGGAACACCGAUGGCGAAGGCAAUCCCCUGGGCCUGCACUGACGCUGAGGAACGAAAGCUAGGGGAGCAAACAGG